UACGUAGGUGGCAAGCGUUGUCCGGAUUUACUGGGCGUAAAGAGCGCGCAGGCGGUCGUUCAAGUCGCGUGUGAAAGCCCCCGGCUCAACUGGGGAGGGUCACGCGAUACUGAUCGACUGGAAGGCAGGAGAGGGUAGUGGAAUUCCCGGUGUAGUGGUGAAAUGCGUAGAUAUCCGGAAGAACACCGGUGGCGAAGGCGGCCUGCUGGGCGGCGACUGACGCUGAGGCGCGACAGCGUGGGGAGCAAACAGG
rnacentral:rRNA from 1 species